rnacentral:rRNA from 1 species
CCCUGGCUCAGGAUGAACGCUAGCGGCAGGCUUAACACAUGCAAGUCGAGGGGUAUUUAUCUUCGGAUAGAGAGACCGGCGCACGGGUGCGUAACGCGUAUGCAAUCUACCUUUUACAGAGGGAUAGCCCAGAGAAAUUUGGAUUAAUACCUCAUAGUAUAUAGACCUGGCAUCAGGAUUAUAUUAAAGUCACAACGGUAAAAGAUGAGCAUGCGUCCCAUUAGCUAGUUGGUAAGGUAACGGCUUACCAAGGCUACGAUGGGUAGGGGUCCUGAGAGGGAGAUCCCCCACACUGGUACUGAGACACGGACCAGACUCCUACGGGAGGCAGCAGUGAGGAAUAUUGGACAAUGGGCGCAAGCCUGAUCCAGCCAUGCCGCGUGCAGGAUGACGGUCCUAUGGAUUGUAAACUGCUUUUAUACGAGAAGAAACACUACUUCGUGAAGUAGCUUGACGGUAUCGUAAGAAUAAGGAUCGGCUAA